UCCGAGAGUGUCACAAAAACCUGUAGGGUCUGGAUCUCAGGAGUCCCAGAAUUGCUCAGAACUCCUACCAGGAUUUCACAGUAUAAAUGACAUCAGUGAAUUGUGUCUGACGUCAGAAUUGCCCAUGGUGACCACAAUGGUGACAAACUGCUCCUUCUGGUACUCAUGAGAUGCUUCUGCCACAGACAGACAUCAGGAGGAACAGACCCAAGGACCUUUCCCAUUAGGAGUCCAAUCUCUUAUACUGCACAUCUCAGCACAGUAGAUAGUGGGAUAAAUGGUUACUGUUCUUCCAUAACCAUCUUCAUCUGGAUGCAUUUACACAAGUAGUAUGUCUGUGAACAACUUCUUUCAAGGAUAAGAUACAGGAAGAGUGAAAUAUCUCUCAUCAAAAAUCUGGUGAACAUCUCAAGAACUCAAAAAGAAUUACAACCACUCCCAUUGAACCAGACAGAUGUAUAAGUUUCAGAAAAACAAGGACAAAUAUCCCACUAGUUUUGCAGUUUUCUGGCUUUUAAAAAAAUGUUUUAGUAUGUAAUUGCAAUGGAAUUGCCAGGUCACAGCCUGAACCAAUGGUUGAGCACCAGGUGAGAAGGCUAACCCAGGAGCUCAGGUUCAAGCAAUAUAGCUGAGUGACCAGAACAGGUGAGCCUGGAUCCACUCCUCCUCACCCUCAUUUAAGGAUUAGCAGCUGAGGAAGCAGCUUGUUUCUGGAUGGAUACUGCAUUCUUCUUGAGCUGUCAUUGGAAAGGCUUGGACGGCAACUGUUUGCAUUUCCCUGGUGGAAGCCUCCAGAUGAGACGAGUGCUAAGAAGUGAACUUUUUAUGUUCAGCUGGACAAAUUGUCAUUCCUAUCGAGUGCUCGUGCUUGAGCUACAGAAGGCAUUUGACACCACUGGACUUUAAAGCUCUUUCUGAGGAGUAUCACAACCCGGCCUUGAGAGAUCUGCAGUUUUGGAGUGUUUCAGGUUUUUAAGAGGUACUUCGAUUACAUGAGGUAGUGAGUAAGGAUGAAGUGAAGGAGAAGUAACAAAGAAAGGGCUGCAUAUUUUCUGCUUUACAUGGUCGUGAAUGAGAUCUGCUCUGAGCACCAGGAGCAAUGUUGCCAGAGAUCAGCACACCACCCAGGGGAUGCCAAUUGUAGGUGUGCAGAAAUAAUGGUGUGACUCAAGACUGCUUUGACAGGCAAAUCCAUCUGAAGUCUGGGCAUAUCUAUCUAUUGGCUGGAAAAAAAGUUGAACCGUUUGUGUAAGAAAUAACAAUUCACACAAGUUCCUAACAUGAAUGAGCACAUACAAAGUAUGAAAAACUGUUCUACAGCUUCAAGUGUGACAGCUUGUUCAGCAAGGUGCUACAUAGUAUAAUUGCUCUGUAAAGGGAGUAGAUGUUUUGUCUUUGUUUUACUUUUUAUUGGAUGCUCGAGGUGGUUAUGUAGUCUGCAUCUACUACGCAUUAUGUACUGGUUACAUGCCGGUACUGCCCAGUUAUGCCUGACCAACUCCUCUUUGCUGUGGUUGUUUCUCUUCCACUCUCCCCACCUUGAAAGCCUCAGACAUCCAAGCCAGAGCUAUUUCAGUAACUGCAGCUAUGCCACUGAAUUGUAACUUUCAUUUUAUGUUGGGGAACUAAUCUGAGAGAUGCCUAAUGAUCCCAGGAGAAGGAUCUCCCAGCACAGCAUAAUCUAAUGGAUAUUUAGAGUGGCAAUCUAGCAGGGACAACAAAUGAAGCAGUGCUGGAAAUCCAUGGUUGCAACAGCAGCUCAAAUUUAAAACGUUUCUGCUCCCUGUAUCUGCAUUUCACACAGCUAUCAGUAUCAGCUUAUUCUGUAAGCUUAGCUGGCUCUUCUCUUCCUCCUCAAAAUCCCUCCCAGAAGCUCCUUGCUGCAGCCCUGUUUGCCAAUUAGCCUCUGCUUCUGUUGUGUGCAGCUAUGGCUUAGGAAAAAGCAGUACUUUUUUUAUUCCAUCUGUGGAACAAACUGCCUUGUGCUUCUGUUCCACCCAAGGGGAGGAUCUUUGGCCCCCUAAAACUGUUUGGCUUCCUUCCACCCAUGACUGUACCAUGGGUGUAGGUCAAACCUGCCAUGCCAUUCUGUUGUUAGCCUACCAACGCAGGGCAUCUGCAUUCCUACUGACACGUGGUUGAGGAUGUCUGGCAACAUCUUUGCUUCCAAAGCAUGCAACAGACUCAUUACUUUCUCUCCUUCCGGAAAAAUAAAGUCAGGAAAACCUCUUGUUUCACACUGAGCUGUGCAGGAUGUUGGAAGCUCCUUUUGAGCCAUCAUCUCACAGGCUGUAUGGCUGCCUUCUUUCUUCUUAAGAGUAACUGGGGACCCUGAAGUGGAGACUGAGUCUCUCCUUUCAUUUGGUUGUAUUGGGUGAAUUACCUACUUUGGAGCCUCAUGGAAGAGGUGUUGUAAAUGAAAGCAGCUUUUGCAUGUUUUUAUUUUUCUUCCCAGAAAAUCUCUUACCCAUUUCACACCUGGUCAUUUUCAUGUCCAUAACCUGAAAAACAGUCCAAGUAGCACAUAGUGAACUUCAUUAUUAGCAUACGUGGUAAAUCACAGUGCAAGAGUUAGAUUUGGUUUUGCAAUUGGAAUACAUACAUAUCUAUCCAUAGCUUUAUGGUCUGGACAUUAGAGAAGAAUUCAUCCAGAUGGAUGGAGAAGGGAAAUCACUUGUAAAUUGCAAAUGAAAAUGUCUCAGUCUCUAUAGAUUUGGCACAGAAAUAGGAGCAGUGGGAAAAAGCAGCUUAUUCACCCUUUAAGGUGAAAAGAAAGCAUGUUCCCAAAAUAUAUUAAAUCACAGAUCUAGUCAUAUACUCUUCCAUGUUACAUGAUAGAUUCAUUUCUGUUCUUUUAAAACCAUCCUUUUGUGGUCCAUUAGACCAGCUUACCAACUGGGUUGCUGGUAGGUUAAAUUUGUAGUUGUAAUCUCUUGAUGUUAAAACAAUCUUUUUUCUUGAACUUGCAGGCGCAGAGCCAUGUCUUUCAGUAUGCUACUAUUAGUAGGCAAAGAACUAUAAUUUGCAUAUUGGAAAAUGAAGUGGGGAGAUGUUUAACGUUCACCGUUAGUUUUUAAUUAAGAAAUUAAUACGAUGAGCCAAUAAGACCUUUAAUUCUGUGUCUGUACUAGAUACUGAUACCAAUAAAUUCUUUGUAUUUCUUUUUUGUUAAAACUGUGAGCCGUGUCUCUUUCUCACUGCUGUCAAACAGGCAGUCCUGGAUGCACUAAUGCACCUGAAUGACUUUACUUAGGGUGUAGAGGUUUGUGUUCAGCCAGUUCCCUCCAUGCAGCGAGAACCAGGAUGGAAACAUCCAGGCCAGUUCAACCAACCACAGUGUUGCUUCAGCUGACUAGCUGCAUGAUUUUCUGACAACUUCUACCUCUUAACUACAUAUUCAUAUGUUCAAACAGUGAGCUGUACAUCUCAGGUCUAUGUUGCAAGUUUUAUGCACUGAUCUUUCUACCAGAAUAGGUAAGAACAGCAGAAGUGUA